rnacentral:lncRNA from 1 species
CGGCGCGCAGCCGCACGCCCGCGCCGUAGACGUAGUCGAGCACCACGGCUAGCGCCGCAGCCGCUGCCCUGCCUGUCGGCCCGGUGCCAGGCUCCUCGGGUGACAUCUGUACCACCGGCACCACGGCGAGGCAGCGCUCGUGUCGACCGGCCCCGAACAGGCUGCGAAAAUAGGCGCUGCCCGCGCUGAGCGCGGCACGGUGACAGGGGAAGUCGCGGCCACCGGCGCGCAGAACCACGUCGGUGAGGAUGCCAUUUCGCCGAUACGCGUUGAGGGUCUGCAGGACGCGCUGCGCGUGGCAGGAUGCUGCACACGGCGCCUCGCAGCCCCUCUCGGAAUCCUGCGGGCCGGGGGCCUCCCGCAUCCUGCAGGGUGGAGAACACAGCGUCGGGAAAUUUUCCUGCGAGGCUGGCCUAGGAUCAGGAGGCACUACUCGCGACCCAAACCAGCCACUUAUUCUUUAGUUCGCUCACUGGCUUACUCUUGCACGCACAAACGUAACGUGUGCUUGGAUUCAUUCAGACGCUCUUCUAACCAGACUCGUGGCUAUAAUCUAGCCUCUGCCCUAUCCGUACCACCUCCUCCCAUCACCCACUAAAGCCAUAUUGCCCUUUUUUCUUCAGACUCGCUAAGCUUUUUUCUAUCAGUCUCCGCAGGAGGCAGAUGGCAGGCUCUCAAAUAGGGUAAUUUGUGGAGAGUCCAAUAAAGGAACGGUUUACAAAAACCUAAGCAGUAUUUAGGGACUCCAACAGGGAUAGAACAGUGCCA